rnacentral:rRNA from 1 species
GAUCCUGGCUCAGGAUGAACGCUAGCUACAGGCUUAACACAUGCAAGUCGCGGGGCAGCAUGAAGGAUGCUUGCAUCCUUCGAUGGCGACCGGCGCACGGGUGAGUAACGCGUAUCCAACCUGCCUGUUUACCACGGCACAGCCCGUCGAAAGGCGGAUUAAUGCCGUAUGUGGUCCUUUGCGGGCAUCUAAUUAGGACUAAAGGUUCGGCGGUAACGGAUGGGGAUGCGUCCGAUUAG